GAUGAACGCUGGCGGCGUGCCUAAUACAUGCAAGUCGAGCGAACGGACGAGAAGCUUGCUUCUCUGAUGUUAGCGGCGGACGGGUGAGUAACACGUGGAUAACCUACCUAUAAGACUGGGAUAACUUCGGGAAACCGGAGCUAAUACCGGAUGAUAUUUUGAACCGCAUGGUUCAAAAGUGAAAGACGGUCUUGCUGUCACUUAUAGAUGGAUCCGCGCUGCAUUAGCUAGUUGGUAAGGUAACGGCUUACCAAGGCAACGAUGCAUAGCCGACCUGAGAGGGGGAUCGGCCACACUGGACCUGAGACACGGUCCAGACUCCUACGGGAGGCAGCAGUAGGGAAUCUUCCGCAAUGGGCGAAAGCCUGACGGAGCAACGCCGCGUGAGUGAUGAAGGUCUUCGGAUCGUAAAACUCUGUUAUUAGGGAAGAACAUAUGUGUAAGUAACUGUGCACAUCUUGACGGUACCUAAGCAGAAAGCCACGGCUAACUACGU
rnacentral:rRNA from 1 species